rnacentral:sRNA from 1 species
UAAUGCAAUGCUGACUGGGCAGGAUUGAAGUUGGCAUCAGCAGGUCAUGUGCCGAUGAAGCAUUUCUUCAGGAACUGAGUCCCAACCACGCCUUGCCUUUCACAGUCGGAUUGGUGAAUUGUGUCCCAGGAAGUAGGUGCAAGUGGCAUGUGACCACUUGGGACAUGUACUGCUACUAUUAUUCUUUAUUCUGACAUGGAUUUUUGACAGGAAAUAGGCUAGCAUAAACAUACAGCACUGGAUGAAUCUGUUCUUCUGAUUCUGCUUUAGAAGACAUCUCCUUACUAAGACUAAGCUCCAAGAGGCCGAGACUCUUUUCUCAGUGCCUGUACCAAAGUAAGUGUUAAUUGUAUGUACUGAAUGAAUGAAAAGAUAUCAAAUCAAGGCUAAUUUUGGUGUGGAUGAAGACCUUGGAUAUUGACAGGCAGUACUACGAGAUGCUUUACAACACAGCUGACGAGCUCCUGAACCUGGUGGUGGACCAGGGUGUGAAGUACACGGAGCUGGAGUAUAUCCAUGCCCUGACCCUGCUGCACCGCAGCCAGACUGGGGUGGGGGAACUGACCACCCAGAACAUGAGGCUGCAGAGGCU